rnacentral:tRNA from 1 species
UUUAAUAUGGCAGAUAAGUGCAAUGAACUUAAGAUUCAUAAAUUUAGUAAUAUAUUACUUUUAUUAAAA